UGCUCCAACCGCAGAGCUGGCUACGUCUCCACACUGGGCGACGGCUCCUCAUGUAAACAGCCCCCGUUUCCCACCCGAGGUGGCUGGAUCUCUGGGGGGGCCUAACAUGCCUGCUCGUCUCCUCCAGUGCCGGCCCCAUUGAAGGCUGAGUGUGACAUUGAGUCUCUGGAGACCCAGGAGGACAUCCUCAGCCUGAGCUGUGAGGCUGGGAGCAGAGCCAAUGCCAACCUGAGCUCGGCCAAGAGGAACAAGUCCCUGAGCCCCAGCCAGGGAGGGGCCAGACACCUGGAGCUGCAGAAUCUCAGCAGAGGGGACGCUGGGGAGUAUCGGUGCUGGGCAAUGAAUUCCUACGGGUCGCCAGUCAGGCCCUGCAUGGGCACGUGCAGUGUUCAGAGAAGCCUGACAAUCGGGUGAUCAUCGGCACGGCCUGUGGGCUGGGAGUCCUCAUUGUCUUAUUCCUUCUCGGGAUCUGUGUGAUGAAACUGCGGCACCGGGAGUGGGUGCCCCCCCAGCGCUGAGGCCGGGGAGACGGCUAACGGGAGCUAGGCAGGAGCACACAGCCAACGAGGCCAGCGUGAUCUACAGCACCGUCGCCAGCAUCCCCAUGCUAUGUACCUGGGGGAGCAGGGACCAAGCCCACCUGCCCUUCCCACCCCACCCCUUCUCUACCCCCUCCACUUCUUCUCCUUCCCACCCCCUUAAUGAAUGCAUGAAUAUAAGCCAAGGUUUUACCAGGGCACCUGACACUCCAUGCAUGCCCAGUGUAAGAAAUACACCCCUGCCACCAGCCUGGGCUCCCUGAACUGCGUGGGAUCGGCUCCUGCGGGGCAGAAAAUGCACCUCAUCCCUCGGGUCUCGCUCAGAGGGGAGGACAUGCAACGAAUGCAUUCAUGUGCAUUCGCAAAGUGCACGGGACAAGAUUGUGACUGCAAUGCUGUAAAUCCCUGGGCAUCUUCCGAAUGCACCAGCUGGGCAAGAAAUGCAUUUCUGCAGCUGCCUGCUAUGGUAUUAGGUGCAUAUGAUCAGACAAUGUAUGCAGGGUUCACCAUAUCUGGUGCAAAUAUAUGCACCCUGCAGAAAAUGCAAUGAACGUGUUGCCGGCACAGAAUGCCCGAGGCAGCAAACAGUGGUUCGUUGCCCGGUGUGCUUCGCUCCAAUAAACACACCAAGGUGGAGAAGCAGACAGAGUUUAUUUGAGAUCUCAAAAGCUGUGCAAGGAGACAGAGGUGUCUCAAAUCAAGCAGACAGCUGCAAGCCGUUUUUCCCUUCUUAUACAUGAUUUCAGCUAAGCAUUCUCAUUACCCACCCACUCCCCCCUUACUCCCCCUCCCUCCUAUUUCCCAUACAGCAGAUACAUUAUGCAGCUAGCAAUUACACUAAGCAGGUUAAAUCAUUCUUGGCAGCAAACAAUUCAUCUCGUUAGUGACUUUUUCUUGACCGGUUAUUUUGUUUUACUCCCUUUGAUUUGUUAUCCUGCCCCCCCCCCCUUAGCCAGGUGCAAGCAGGCCUCAUUAUUGCCUCCUGGUAUCAGUGCUGCACUGAUAACUAGCUGCUACACAUUCCAUUCUCGGUUACUGGCCUGUAAGGUCGAUUACAGUUUAACAUGGAGGCACUCUGGGCAAGCAUAGAAUAACUUUGGUUCAUUCAGGCCUAAUAAAGAUGCCUGAUGACUCCAACAAACGCAUCAGCAUAGUCUAUGGAACCACAAAAUUCGUGGGAUCAAAUCAUGCAGGACCAGUGCAUAAAAUGUACACAACAAUAUGCAUCUUGGUAAUGCAUGGGCAGUGCAGGCAAUGCAGAGAAUGCAUUAACUUAACCAAGGCUGCCCCAAGUGCUUGGUGCAUGAAAUGCAGAAAAUACAUUUCCUGAACCUGUUCUGCAAUGAGAUGCAUGAGAUGAAAUCCUGCAUUCGUAAUGCAUGAAAUGAACAUACCCACAUGCAUCUUGCUAAUGCGUGGCCUGUGCAGCUGAGGCAGUGAAUGCAUUAACCGAGCUGGUGCUGGCAUGGGAACAGCUCAUGCAUGCAGAGUGUGAAACACACCCGAUCCCACACCUCUUGCUAGUGCACACCCAAUGCAGGAAAUACAUUUGCAGAGUACAAGUAUUAUACGGAGGGUGGGGGAAACGUGGCCUGGGGAAGCCCAUGCAGUCAGCUCUCCAGGGUGAAUUCAAGUCUCUGCGUUGCUUCUCACUCAGCAUCACAAGACUCCAGCUACCCACCAGACCAAAGGCGUCCAGGAUGGGGCUGCCACAGCACAGGCCCUGCUACACCUCCAUCAAAUUCUCCAAGCUGCAGCGCAAACUGGGGGAGCCUCCGGAGGCCCCUGCCAUUGAAUAUUCCAAGGUCCGACUGAAGUAGCCCCCUCGUGCCAUGGGCCUAGGCUGGGCAUCGCCAGCCCGUCCAGUGCAGGGGGGAUCACAGUGUGGAGAGAAGGGGCAAGGGGUUGGCCCAGGGCUGGACCUACGGCAUGGGAAACCUGGGUGCAAAUCCCUGCUCUGGCCUGGACUCAGGGCGGAGUCAACUAAGCCUUGGAGAUGCUGGAGCGCUGCAUUGAGGGGAGGUAUCCCAGAGUCCUCUGCAGUCGGGUCUCAAAGCCUGCCCCCUCCCAAACCCCACUGCCCCCGGGGGAAAGAGCCUCUCACCCCUCACCCAUAGAGAGUCUCUCUUCUACCCUGCCUGAGCUCUCACCCACUCGUUUCACAGAUGGGCAGGAUGGUCACGCUCAGGGGCAGCAGCUGGCAGGAGUGGAGGGAUGGGCUUGUGUCUAAGCUGCUGGCCAGGUACUCUGGGUUCUAAUCUCUGUUUUGCUAAAAAAUGCUGUAGGGUGAGGUUGGUCCAGUUGCUGCAUCUGUCUAGUCUCAGUUUCCUUACCCCCCAAAAAUCAGGAUAAUAAUGGUGCCCUGGGCUAGUUACAUUAUAAACUCUUAGGGGCAGGGACUGUCUGUCGCUGUGUCUGAGCAGCGCCUGGUACAACGGGACCCUUGUCUCUGUCGAGGUCAAUCAAUGCCACGUGAUUAUAACCUCUUAAUAACGAUGUUCUAUUAAAGGUAACUUGUUCACUCCAAAGCCAAAAGCAUCUGACUGUAAAAUCCCCUGUUUACAAGCUGUUACUUGAAAUAGAUUUUCAUGUGUCGUUUUUGUCACGGCUACUUUUUUAACAAAGGGCCACUAACAACUAUGACUUAUUUGUAUCCAGUAAAGAAUCAGUUUUCACGUCUGCCUUUCCCCUGGGAGGCCCUGAUUGCAGCUGGCUUCUUCGCAGGGCCACUUAUAACACGGUCCCAAUUCCAGCUGGGGCAGGGACUGUCCAUUCCUGUGUCUUAGCAGCACCUGGCACAAUAGGGCCCUUGUCAUAAACAUACAGCUAACGGGAGGAUAAAAUCCCUUCUUUACUUCUAAGGGGUUAAGAAGCUCAAAUAACCUGGUUAGCACCUGACCAGAAGGACCAAUGGGGAAGGAAGAUACUUUCAA